GAUGAACGCUGGCGGCGUGCCUAAUACAUGCAAGUCGAGCGAACGGACGAGAAGAUUGCUUCUCUGCUGUUAGCGGCGGACGGGUGAGUAACACGUGGAUAACCUACCUAUAUGACUGGGAUAACUUCGGGAAACCGGAGAUAAUAACGGCUCAUAUUUUGUACCGCAUGGUUCAAAAGUGCAAGACGGCUUUGCUGUCACUUAUAGACGGAUUCGCGCUGGAUUAGCUAGUUGGUAAGGUAACGGCUUACCAAGGCAACGAUGCGUAGCCGACCUGAGAGGGUGAUCGGCCACACUGGAACUGAGACACGGUCCAGACUCCUACGGGAGGCAGCAGUAGGGAAUCUUCCGCAAUGGGCGAAAGCCUGACGGAGCAACGCCGCGUGAGUGAUGAAGGUCUUCGGGUCGUAAAACUCUGUUAUUAGGGAAGAACAUAUGUGUAAGUAACUGUGCACGUCUUGACGGUACCUAAUCAGAAAGCCACGGCUAACUUCGUG
rnacentral:rRNA from 1 species